rnacentral:rRNA from 1 species
AGAGUUUGAUCCUGGCUCAGAACGAACGCUGGCGGCGUGGAUAAGACAUGCAAGUCGAACGGGAUAUUAUUUGUAGCAAUACAGAUGAUGUUCAGUGGCGCAAGGGUGAGUAACACGUGAGCAACCUGCCUUGAAGUGGGGGAUAGCUCGCCGAAAGGCGAAUUAAUACCGCAUGUGGUAGUAAUACUAAAGCCGGGGCAACCUGGCGCUUCUAGAGGGGCUCGCGGCCUAUCAGCUAGUUGGUGAGGUAACAGCUCACCAAGGCUAUGACGGGUAGCUGGUCUGAGAGGACGACCAGCCACACUGGAACUGAGACACGGUCCAGACACCUACGGGUGGCAGCAGUCGAGAAUUUUUCUCAAUGGGGGAAACCCUGAAGGAGCGACGCCGCGUGGAGGAUGAAGGUCUUCGGAUUGUAAACUCCUGUCAUUGGUGAACAAAGUCACAAGUUAACUGCUUUGUGAUAUGCUAGUAGCCGAAGAGGAAGGGACGGCUAACUCUGUGCCAGCCGCCGCGGUAAUUC